rnacentral:rRNA from 1 species
CGGGGUGAGUAACACGUGGAUAACCUACCUAUAAGACUGGGAUAACUUCGGGAAACCGGAGCUAAUACCGGAUAAUAUUUUGAACCGCAUGGUUCAAAAGUGAAAGACGGUCUUGCUGUCACUUAUAGAUGGAUCCGCGCUGCAUUAGCUAGUUGGUAAGGUAACGGCUUACCAAGGCAACGAUGCAUAGCCGACCUGAGAGGGUGAUCGGCCACACUGGAACUUAGACACGGUCCAGACUCCUACGGGAGGCAGCAGCA